GGAAUUUUCCGCAAUGGGCGAAAGCCUGACGGAGCAACGCCGCGUGAGGGAUGAAGGCCUCUGGGCUGUAAACCUCUUUUAUCAAGGAAGAAGAUCUGACGGUACUUGAUGAAUAAGCCACGGCUAAUUCCGUGCCAGCAGCCGCGGUAAGACGGAGGAUGCAAGUGUUAUCCGGAAUCACUGGGCGUAAAGCGUCUGUAGGUGGCUUAACAAGUCAACUGUUAAAUCUUGAAGCUCAACUUCGAAAUCGCAGUCGAAACUGUUAGGCUAGAGUAUAGUAGGGGUAAAGGGAAUUUCCAGUGGAGCGGUGAAAUGCGUAGAGAUUGGAAAGAACACCGAUGGCGAAGGCACUUUACUGGGCUAUUACUAACACUCAGAGACGAAAGCUAGGGUAGCAAAUGGGAUUAAUACCCCAGUAGUC
rnacentral:rRNA from 1 species